CAAUAGCGUAUAUUAAAGUUGUUGCGGUUAAAAAGCUCGUAGUUGGAUUUCUGUUGAGGACGGCCGGUCCGCACUAUGUGCGUGUAUCUGGUUCGGCCUCGGCAUCCUCUCGAAAGCCGUUUCUGCGCUUGAUUGCGUGGUUCGGACUUCGGGACUUUUACUUUGAGGAAAUUAGAGUGUUCACGGCAGGCAAGCGCCUUGAAUAUAUUAGCAUGGAAUAAUAAUAUAGGAUCUUGGUCCUAUUUUGUUGGUUUCUAGGGCUAAGAUAAUGAUUAAUAGGGACAAUUGGGGGCAUUCGUAUUAACGCGUCAGAGGUGGAAUUCUUGGAUUGCGUUACGACGAACUACUGCGAAAGCAUUUGCCGAGGAUGUUUUCAUUGA
rnacentral:rRNA from 1 species